GGUUCAAGUAAAAAUGAUAAGAGUGUGGAUGAUGGAAAGGGGGGUAUCAACAGUUCAAUGGCUAUCAACCCUGUUACUGAGACAGUACGCAUGGAAGAAACAAGAGGUGAAUCUAGUGGCCCUCACAGAAGCUACGAUAACAAAAGAUUAAAUGAAGAAAGUGCAGGAGCUGAAAAAGUAGUCAGCAGUGAAGACAAGUCAUUAUCUGACCAACUUGAGAAUGCUGGAAGUGAAGACAGUAAAAAACAAUUGGCACCCAACAUGAUCACAAAAAUCAAAGGCAUCAGUGAAAUAGGAGGUAAUUCUAACUGUGAUGUCAAAUUAGUCCGUGAAGGAAGUGUGGAUGCUGUGAAGAUAGAGAUCAAUGGCCAAAGGGCACCUAGCACUGUAACAGAGAUUGGAGAAAUUAGGUCUGAAUCUAAUGGUUCAAGUAAAAUUGAUGAGAGAGCAGA
rnacentral:misc_RNA from 1 species